GACGAACGCUGGCGGCGUGCUUAACACAUGCAAGUCGAACGGAGCGAAUGAAAGCUUGCUUUUAUGAGCUUAGUGGCAAACGGGUGAGUAACACGUAGACAACCUGCCGACAGGAUGGGGACAACAUUCCGAAAGGAAUGCUAAUACCGAAUGAAGUCGAGGGAGGGCAUCCUCCUUCGAUGAAAGAUGGCCUCUGAAUAUGCUAUCACCUGUCGAUGGGUCUGCGUCUGAUUAGCUGGUUGGUGAGGUAACGGCUCACCAAGGCGACGAUCAGUAGCCGGUCUGAGAGGAUGAACGGCCACAUUGGGACUGAGACACGGCCCAGACUCCUACGGGAGGCAGCAGUGGGGAAUCUUCCGCAAUGGGCGCAAGCCUGACGGAGCAACGCCGCGUGAGUGAAGAAGGUCUUCGGAUCGUAAAGCUCUGUUGAUGGGGACGAACGUGCGAAGGGUGAAUAAUCCUUUUAAUGACGGUACCUAUCGA
rnacentral:rRNA from 1 species